rnacentral:rRNA from 1 species
UACGGAAGGGGCAAGCGUUGUUCGGAAUCAUUGGGCGUAAAAGGCGCGUAGGUGGUUCUGUAUGUCUACCGUGAAAGCAUACAGCUCAACUGUAUUUUGUCGGUAGAAACUGCAGGACUUGAGGCUGGGAGGGGCUGGUGGAAUUCCCUGUGUAGCGGUGAAAUGCGUAGAGAUGGGGGAGAACACUCGUGGCGAAGGCGGCCAGCUAGACCAGUUCUGACACUGAGGCGCGACAGCGUGGGGAGCAAACAGG